AUGGCGCGCGGCGCGGAGGAGGCCGUCGGCGUCGUGGGGAUGGGGUUCCCCGCCGACGCCGGCCACGGCCUCGCGCUGCGGCACGGCGUCCUCGCGGGGAGGCGCGGCGACGAAUCCGCCGACUCCGACGACCCCCGCCUCCCGCCGCUGCGUCUCGGCGCCUCCUACUACGCCUCCGACGGGGCCGGGGCCGCGCUCGCCAGCCCCGCCUCCAGCUCCUCCUCCGACGCCUUCCUCAGCACGACCUCCACGCCUUCAGGGCUGCUGAAUCCGUACGGGGUGUGGUCGCCGCCACGCGCGCCGUCGGAGGCGUCGGAGUUCGGCACCGCGCGCGAGUACGACACCACCGACCUCUUCUUCGGCGAGAACUGGCUCUACGACGACCUCCUGUUCCACCGCGAGCCGGAGAUCAGCGGUAAGAGCGGCGACGGCGACGGCGACGAGGAGGACAAGUUCAUUGUUGACCCCGACGUCGGCGAGAUUGGCGACGACAGCAGCCGACGCCACGAGCGCAGCAAGAGCAAUGCAGAGGCGUAUACGUCACCGCCCUGCAGUUGUUGCCACGGCGAAAUGGAGCACAAGAAUGGUCGGGAGUUUGCGAGGGAUUCUUGGUCUGCUGUGUACGGGAGGUAUCAGAUCAUGGACGACCUGACGGAGGUGCUUGAUGAGUGCGGUGCAGACGCGCACCAGUUCAGGCGCAAUGUGAAUGACGAUGCCACACUCAAGGGCGGUCCGUUAGUGGAUUCCAGGAGUGGAGAUGACCAGGAGUUUGAUCUCAGUGCGCUGGAGAAGGAGCUUCAGGUGCUCAGUCCGUACUUGUCUGAAGACGCAAAUGCUGCUAACAACCAUAGGUUUAACCAUGACUUCAGAGUAAACGAUGAACUAAAUAUUGACCUUAUAACAGAUGACAAAAUUGUCGAUGACAAGGAAUUUCUAAAGGAUAGUUACAGCGUGCACCCUUUUCCUGAGAUUAGUAUUCCUGAAGAUAUUUAUGGGAUGGAGGACUUCGGGCCAGCGGAUACAAAUGUUCAAAAUGCUGCUCAUAGUAUCGAUGAAGGUCCGAAAACGGAGAUUGAUCUUGCAAGCUCUAUUUUUCAUCAAGAAUAUGAGGAAUUUGAGUUGAGGAUUUUCCACCGGAAGAACAGGACUGGCUUUGAGGAAAACAAAGAUUUUCCUAUUGUGGUAGAUUCAGUUGUUGCCGGAAGAUAUCGCAUCACUGAAUAUCUUGGUUCCGCUGCAUUCAGCAGGGUCGUACAGGCACAUGAUCUUCGCACAGGAAUGGAUGUCUGCCUUAAAAUAAUUAAAAAUGACAAGGAUUUCUUUGAUCAGAGUUUGGAUGAGAUAAAGCUCCUUAAGUUUGUAAAUAAACAUGAUCCGGCAGAUGCACAUCAUAUAUUGCGCCUAUAUGAUUUUUUCUACUAUCAGGAACAUCUUUUCAUUGUAACCGAAUUGCUACGGGCAAAUCUAUAUGAGUUUCAGAAGUAUAACCAGGAGUCCAGUGAUGAGGUCUACUUUUCAUUGCCCAGAAUACAGGCUAUAGCUCGACAGUGCUUAGAAGCUUUGGUGUAUUUGCAUGAUUUAAAUAUAGUUCACUGUGACCUGAAACCAGAGAACAUCCUUAUGAAGAGCUACAGCAGAUGUGAAGUCAAGGUUAUUGAUCUUGGAAGCAGUUGCUUCUUGACAGAUAACUUAAGCCUAUACGUCCAGUCACGUUCUUACCGUGCUCCUGAGAUUAUUUUGGGUCUUCCAUAUGACCAGAGGAUUGACAUUUGGUCUCUUGGAUGUAUAUUCGCCGAACUGUACUCUGGUGAAGUGCUCUUUCCUAAUGAAGCGGUGUCAACAAUUCUUGCUCGGAUGAUUGGAACAAUUGGCCCAAUUGACACGCAGAUGCUUGCGUUGGGACAGGAGACUCCGAAGUACUUUACAGAAGAGUACGACCUUUUCCACAAGAACGAGGAGACGGGUCAGCUGGAGUAUUUGAUACCAGAGAAAUCCUCCUUGCGGCGCCACUUGCGAUGCCCCGACUCCAAGUUUGUUGAUUUCCUGUCCUGCCUGCUGCAAAUCAACCCCAGAAAGAGACCAACAGCCAGGGAAGCGUUGCGGCAUCGAUGGUUUUCACACAAGUAUCGUUGA
rnacentral:rRNA from 1 species